rnacentral:rRNA from 1 species
GACGAACGCUGGCGGCGUGCUUAACACAUGCAAGUCGAACGGAAAGGCCCUGCUUUUGUGGGGUGCUCGAGUGGCGAACGGGUGAGUAACACGUGAGUAACCUGCCCUUGACUUUGGGAUAACUUCAGGAAACUGGGGCUAAUACCGGAUAGGAUCUCCUGCUGCAUGGUUGGGGUUGGAAAGUUUCGGCGGUUGGGGAUGGACUCGCGGCUUAUCAGCUUGUUGGUGGGGUAGUGGCUUACCAAGGCUUUGACGGGUAGCCGGCCUGAGAGGGUGACCGGCCACAUUGGGACUGAGAUACGGCCCAGACUCCUACGGGAGGCAGCAGUGGGGAAUAUUGCACAAUGGGAGGAAGCCUGAUGCAGAAACGCCGCGUGCGGGAUGACGGCCUUCGGGUUGUAAACCGAUUUCGCCUGUGACGAAGAGUGAGUGACGGUAAUGGGUAAAGAAGCACCGGCUAACUACGUG